rnacentral:lncRNA from 1 species
GCCCUGUGCGUGGUACUACCCAGUUGUGGCUCUAUAAUUUUUUAUGAACUUUUUCUUCCCCUGAGUUCAUAUGAAAAGUCAUGAUGUUCUUUUGAGACAACUGUUUUUGUGGUGGGCCGUUAGAAUGACCACCUCUAUUAGUCGAUUUCUAGAUCGAGUCUGACAAUUAGAAGGCUCACCUUUGUUAAUAGUCAUUUUCCGAGGAAGGAAUCUUAAGCAGCCCACCUCUGUGUUAGCAGACAGGUGUCUUAAGAUGCCCAUCUAUAUUAGUAGUGGAUUAACAAAGGCAAUCACCUUUGGAUGCCCAUCUCUGAAAAUAAUUAACAGAGGCGAGCGUUUGGCUAAAGCUGGCUGCCUCUAAAAAUGAUUGCCAAGAGGAUGUCUCCUAAAAUACUUUGUGUAGUAGCGAUUGUAAGAAUUAGGUUGAUAUACUCAUGCCAUGGAGAGAAAUAUUAAUAUUGUGUUAUCCUUUUCACACACAUGUUUACUGUACAUCCAGAAGCAGGUUUGCAUCAAUUACAAUGAAGCAGUGCUAGUGUGGUCAUUGGCCUCCCCCAGUAUCUAUGCCAUGCAUGUCUUCUGGAACCAAGUAGAGCAGGCAACAGAGUUUGAUAUGUGCUCACUAUUUGUGUUUAGGGAGAGGGAGAGAAUGUUGUUGUUACUUGCUACUUCUUGUUUCGAAAUUCCAUGUAGCUCUCGUGAAUUUCCCCAUCCCAAAGAAUUUUACUUUUGGCCUGGAAGGUAUCUGGAUUAUAUGGGAUA